GGGGAUUUAGCUCAGUGGUAGAGCGCUUGCCUAGCAAACGAAAGGCCCUGGGUUCGGUCCCCAGCUCCG
rfam:Rattus norvegicus chromosome 5, whole genome shotgun sequence.